GAGGAGGGAGGAGGGCGGAUGCCAGCGGUUGGAAUGGCGACGGCGAAUGGCGUUGCUUGACGGACGGCGAAUGGCUGCCGGCUGGUGGCUGGAAUCACGACUUCGCGAGGAGGGGUAGGGGAAGAAACGGCUGAAGGGGAGUCAGGGGACUGAACGGCUGUGUUAGGGGCGUAGGGUAAUCAGGGUUUAGGUUUAGCUUAAUAUUAGACUUUGGGCCUUAUUGUCUGGGCCUAUUU
rnacentral:lncRNA from 1 species